rnacentral:tRNA from 1 species
UGUGAGGUGGAGUAGACGGUAACUCGCCAGGCUCAUGACUUGGAGAUCGUAGGUUCGAGUCCUACCCUCACAA